rnacentral:rRNA from 1 species
AACGAACGCUGGCGGCAGGCUUAACACAUGCAAGUCGAACGAUCUCUUCGGAAGUAGUGGCAGACGGGUGAGUAACACGUGGGAACGUACCUUUCAGUCAGGAAUAACUCAUGGAAACGUGAGCUAAUACCCGAUACGCCCUUUUGGGGAAAGAUUUAUCGCUGAAAGAUCGGCCCGCGUCUGAUUAGCUAGUUGGUGGGGUAAUGGCCUACCAAGGCGACGAUCAGUAGCUGGUCUGAGAGGAUGAUCAGCCACACUGGGACUGAGACACGGCCCAGACUCCUACGGGAGGCAGCAGUGGGGAAUAUUGGACAAUGGGCGCAAGCCUGAUCCAGCCAUGCCGCGUGAGUGAUGACGGCCUUAGGGUUGUAAAGCUCUUUCGACGGGGACGAUAAUGACGGUACCCGUAGAAGAAGCCCCGGCUAACUUCGUGCCAGCAGCCGCCGUAAGAC